CCUACGGGUGACAGCAGUAGGGAAUUUUGCGCAAUGGGCGAAAGCCUGACGCAGCAACGCCGCGUGAUCGAGACGCCCUUCGGGGUGUAAAGAUCUGUCAGUGGGAACGAAACUUGACGGUACCCACAGAGGAAGCACCGGCCAACUCCGUGCCAGCAGCCGCGGUAAUACGGGGGGUGCAAGCGUUGUCCGGAAUCAUGGGGCGGAAAGAGUUCGUGGGCGGCAAGUAAAGUCUGGUGGUAAAGGCAGAGGCUUAAGCUCUGUACGGCACUGGAUACUUGCGAGCUAGAAUGCGGUAGAGGUAAGGGGAAGGCCGGGUGUAGCGGGGAAAUGCAUAGAUAGCAGGAGGAACAUCGGUGGCGUAAGCGGUUUAGUGGGCCGUAAUUGACGCUGAGGAACGAAAGCCAGGGUAGCAAAUGGGAUUAGAUACCCUGGUAGUC
rnacentral:rRNA from 1 species